rnacentral:rRNA from 1 species
UACGUAGGGGGCAAGCGUUGUCCGGAAUUAUUGGGCGUAAAGAGCUCGUAGGCGGUGUGUCACGUCGGCCGUGAAAACCUGCAGCUUAACUGUGGGCGUGCGGUCGAUACGGGCAUCACUGGAGUUCGGCAGGGGAGACUGGAAUUCCCAGUGUAGAGGUGAAAUUCGUAGAUAUUGGGAAGAACACCGGUGGCGAAGGCGGCUCACUGGCUCAUUUCUGACGCUCAGGCGCGACAGCGUGGGGAUCAAACAGG